UCUCCGUUGGUGAACCAGCGGAGGGAUCAUUACCGAGUUUACAACUCCCAAACCCCUGUGAACAUACCAUUUGUAGCCUCGGCGGUGCCUGCUUCGGCAGCCCGCCAGAGGACCCAAACCCUUGAUUUUAUACAGUAUCUUCUGAGUAAAUGAUUAAAUAAAUCAAAACUUUCAACAACGGAUCUCUUGGUUCUG
rnacentral:misc_RNA from 1 species